AACGCACAUUGCGCCCCUUGGUAUUCCAUGGGGCAUGCCUGUUCGAGCGUCAUUUGUACCUUCAAGCUCUGCUUGGUGUUGGGUGUUUGUCUCGCCUCUGCGUGUAGACUCGCCUCAAAACAAUUGGCAGCCGGCGUAUUGAUUUCGGAGCGCAGUACAUCUCGCGCUUUGCACUCAGAACGACGACGUCCAAAAGUACAUUUUUACACUCUUGACCUCGGAUCAGGUAGGGAUACCCGCUGAACUUAAGCAUAUCAAUAAGCGGAGGACGUCAGCUUGACAAGCACUAUUGUGAGUCAUCGAGUCUUUGAACGCACAUUGCGCCCCGUGGUAUUCCGCGGGGCAUGCCUGUUCGAGCGUCAUUACACCACUCAAGCCUCGCUUGGUAUUGGGCGACGCGGUACGUCCGCGCGCCUCAAAUCUUCCGGCUGGUUCGAAUCGUCCCUCAGCGUUGUGGAAACUAUUCGCUAAAGGUGCGCGUUUCGGUCACGCCGUUAAACAAGCCAAUUUCAUUAAAGGUUGACCUCGGAUCAGGUAGGGAUACCCGCUGAACUUAA
rnacentral:misc_RNA from 1 species